rnacentral:rRNA from 1 species
CCGUCUUGAAACACGGACCAAGGAGUCUAACAUGUGCGCGAGUCACUCGGUCUUGAAUAGGCCAGAGAGGCGCAAUGAAAGUAAAUUUGUUUAGUUACGAUCCUUACAUUUACAGUUGCAUUCACUUGUGACUGUUGUUUGGCGCAGUAACGGCCUGCCAAUUUCGCCUAUUGACGAUCUGGCAGAGUUGUAGCGUACACGUUGGUACCCGAAAGAUGGUGAACUAUGCCUGGGCAAGACGAAGCCAGAGGAAACUCUGGUGGAGGUCUGUAGCGAUUCUGACGUGCAAAUCGAUCGUCCGACCUGGGUAUAGGGGCGAAAGACUAAUCGAACCAUCUAGUAGCUGGUUCCUUCC